GAAAUGCGAUAAGUAGUGUGAAUUGCAGAAUUCAGUGAAUCAUCGAAUCUUUGAACGCACAUUGCGCCCCUUGGUAUUCCAUGGGGCAUGCCUGUUCGAGCGUCAUUUGUACCCUCAAGCUAUGCUUGGUGUUGGGUGUUUGUCCUCUCCCUUGCGUUUGGACUCGCCUUAAAGAAAUUGGCAGCCAGUGUAUUGGUAUAGAAGCGCAGCACAAUUUGCGACUCUAGCUAAUAAUUACUUGCAACCAUCAAGUCUAUUUAACACUUUUGACCUCGGAUCAGGUAGGGAUACCCGCUGAACUUAA
rnacentral:misc_RNA from 1 species